rnacentral:rRNA from 1 species
GGGGAAUAUUGGACAAUGGGCGCAAGCCUGACCCAGCCAUGCCGCGGGGGUGAAGAAGCCCUCCGGGUGGUAAAGCCUUUUUGUGGGGAAAGAAAAGCAGCCGGCCAAUCCCGGGUUGUUUUGCCGGUACCCAAAGAUAAAGCCCCGGCAAACUUGGUCCCAGCAGCCGCGGUAAUACGAAGGGUGCAAGCGUUACUCGGAAUUACUGGGCGUAAAGCGUGCGUAGGUGGUGGUUUAAGUCCGUUGUGAAAGCCCUGGGCUCAACCUGGGAACUGCAGUGGAUACUGGAUCACUAGAGUGUGGCAGAGGGUAGUGGAAUUCCCGGUGUAGCAGUGAAAUGCGUAGAGAUCGGGAGGAACAUCAGUGGCGAAGGCGACUGCCUGGGCCAACACUGACACUGAGGCACGAAAGCGUGGGGAGCAAACA